AGUGAACGCUGGCGGUAGGCCUAACACAUGCAAGUCGAACGGCAGCACAGUAAGAGCUUGCUCUUACGGGUGGCGAGUGGCGGACGGGUGAGGAAUACAUCGGAAUCUACUUUUUCGUGGGGGAUAACGUAGGGAAACUUACGCUAAUACCGCAUACGACCUACGGGUGAAAGCAGGGGAUCUUCGGACCUUGCGCGAUUGAAUGAGCCGAUGUCGGAUUAGCUAGUUGGCGGGGUAAAGGCCCACCAAGGCGACGAUCCGUAGCUGGUCUGAGAGGAUGAUCAGCCACACUGGAACUGAGACACGGUCCAGACUCCUACGGGAGGCAGCAGUGGGGAAUAUUGGACAAUGGGCGCAAGCCUGAUCCAGCCAUACCGCGUGGGUGAAGAAGGCCUUCGGGUUGUAAAGCCCUUUUGUUGGGAAAGAAAAGCAGCAGGUUAAUACCCCGCUGCUCUGACGGUACCCAAAGAAUAAGCACCGGCGAACUUCGG
rnacentral:rRNA from 1 species